rnacentral:piRNA from 1 species
UGGGAACGAGCAGACACUCGUGGAGGCGUCA